UAAAGUGCAUUGCAACAUUUAUAUUAUGUAAAAUAAAAAACAAACAUCUAACUACUUAAGAAUCCUUCAAGAAUAUAGAAGUACAAAGCACAAAUGCCUCACAGCCUGUCCAGCAUGCAUAUAUAGACAGCAGUGUUUUCCCUAAUACACUGCACAGAUUCAAAUACCAUGAAAAAAACUGCUAUGUUUCGGCUUUGCUGCUAAAACUGUAUAAAGCAGGGGUCCUCAAACUCCGGCCCCCCAGAUGUUGCUGAACUACAACUCCCAUGAUUCUCUGGCUAUCUAUGUAAUUCAAAGAAUCAUCAGAGUUGUAGUUCAGCAACGUCUGGAGGGCCACAGUUUGAGGACCCCUGAUUUAAAGGGACACUAUAGUAACCAGAACAACUACAGCUUAAUGUAGUUGUUCUGGUGUGUAUAGUCAGUCCCUGCAGGCUUUUUGCAGUAGCACUGUCUUUUUAGAAAAAAAAAAGCAGGGUUUACAUUGCUCUCUAUGGACACUUCCAGUGGCCACUCCUCAGAUAGCUACUAGAGGUGUUUUCUAGGGCAGUUCUGCACAGACAUGUAGUGUCUUUACCCUCUGCAUGGAGACACUGAACUUUCCUCAUAGAGAUAAAUUGAUUCAAUGCAUCUCUAUAAGGAGAUGUUGAUUGGCCAGGGCGGUGUUUAGCUCUGCCCCCAGCCAGCCUCCUUGGCUGAGAUAAUCAGAAUUGAUAAUCUCAGCUAAACACCACCCUGGCCAAUCAGCAUAUCCUUAUAGAGAUGCAUUGAAUUAAUUUAUGAUUGGUUGAGAUCACUUUUGAUAAUGUCAGACAAGGAGGUAGAUCAGGGGCAGAGUCACCAUCAGCAGACUGGGAUAAAGGUAAGAUUUUACUAUAUUUAGGGAGCCAGGGGGGUUAGAUAGUGUUUUUAACAUUAUAGAAUCAGGAUGUUUGGGUUCAUGACCCUAUAGUGCUCCUUUAACCUCUUAAUGAAAAGCGACAGUCUGUUAUAACAACACUAUUUAAACAUCUUAUUUCAAAAUGAAAUGACCCACUAAAUUUGUCUUUAAUUAGUUACAAAUACAAAAUAAGCAGGACAUUUGAUAGUGCAUAAGGAUUUAUGAGGACUAAAUUGUGAUGAUGGCAAAGUUAAAUAUUUGGCCCUUAAAGGGACACUAUAGGCACCCAGACCACUUCAGCUCAUUGAAGUGCUCUGGGUGCAUAUUUCCAGUUCCAAUAACCAAGCAAAGAUAAUUAUUGCAGUUUUUAAUUAAAAGGACACUAUAGUCACCCAGACCACUUCAGCUCAAUGAAGUGGUUUGUGUGC